GAUGAACGCUGGCGGCGUGCCUAAUACAUGCAAGUCGAGCGAACAGAUGAGGAGCUUGCUCCUCUGACGUUAGCGGCGGACGGGUGAGUAACACGUGGAUAACCUACCUAUAAGACUGGGAUAACUUCGGGAAACCGGAGCUAAUACCGGAUAAUAUAUUGAACCGCAUGGUUCAAUAGUGAAAGACGGUUUUGCUGUCACUUAUAUCUGGAUCCGCGCCGCAUUAGCUAGUUGGUAAGGUAACGGCUUACCAAGGCAACGAUGCGUAGCCGACCUGAGAGGGUGAUCGGCCACACUGGAACUGAGACACGGUACAGACUCCUACGGGAGGCAGCAGUAGGGAAUCUUCCGCAAUGGGCGAAAGCCUGACGGAGCAACGCCGCGUGAGUGAUGAAGGUCUUCGGAUCGUAAAACUCUGUUAUUAGGGAAGAACAAAUGUGUAAGUAACUAUGCACGUCUUGACGGUACCUAAUCAGAAAGCCACGGCUAACUACGUG
rnacentral:rRNA from 1 species